ensembl:rRNA 5S_rRNA 5S ribosomal RNA
GUCUACGGCCAUACCACCCUGAACACGCUGUGUGAUCUGGGAAGCUAAGCAGGGUCGGGCCUGGUUAGUACUUGGAAGGGAGACCGAGCCCAGAGACGUAAAUU